rnacentral:rRNA from 1 species
GAUUAACGCUGGCGGCGUGCAUAACACAUGCAAGUCGAACGAUGAAACUCAUUAGAUUUCUUCGGAAUGAAAAUGAAUGGAUUAGUGGCGAACGGGUGAGUAACGCGUGAGUAACCUGCCUUACACAAGGGGAUAGCCUCUGGAAACGGAGAAUAAUACCCUAUGAAACCAGACAAUCGCAUGAUAAUCUGGUCAAAAUGUUUAGUGGUGUAAGAUGGACUUGCGUCUGAUUAGCUAGUUGGUGAGAUAAAAGCUCGCCAAGGCAACGAUCAGUAGCCGGCUUGAGAGAGUGUACGGCCACAUUGGGACUGAGACACGGCCCAGACUCCUACGGGAGGCAGCAGUGGGGAAUUUUGCACAAUGGGGGAAACCCUGAUGCAGCGACGCCGCGUGAUUUAGAAGGCCUUCGGGUUGUAAAAAUCUUUUGUAUAGGAAGAAAAUGACAGUACUAUACGAAUAAGGUCCGGCUAAUUACGUG